rnacentral:rRNA from 1 species
CCUGCCGGACCUGACUGCUAUCGGAUUGAUACUAAGCCAUGCGAGUCUUUGUAGUAAUACAAGGCAGACGGCUCAGUAACACGUAGUCAACCUACCCUAUGGACGAGAAUAAUCUCGGGAAACUGAGCAUAAUUCUUGAUAGAUCAUAAUGCCUGGAAUGGUUUAUGGUUAAAAUGAUUCGUCGCCAUAGGAUGGGACUGCGGCCUAUCAGCUUGUUGGUGAGGUAAUGGCCCACCAAGGCGAUUACAGGUACGGGCUCUGAGAGGAGAAGCCCGGAGAUGGGUACUGAGACACGGACCCAGGCCCUAUGGGGCGCAGCAGGCGAGAAAACUUUGCAAUGUGCGAAAGCACGACAAGGUUAAUCCGAGUGAUUUCUGCUAAAGAAAUCUUUUGCCAGUCGUAAAACCGCUGGUGAAUAAGGGGUGGGCAAGUUCUGGUGUCAGCCGCCGCGGUAAAACCAGCACCUCAAGUGGUCAGGAUGAUUAUUGGGCCUAAAGCAUCCGUAGCCGGCUUUGUAAGUUUUCGGUUAAAUCCAUGUGCUCAACGCAUGGGCUGCCGAAAAUACUGCAUAGCUAGGGAGUGGAAGAGGUAGACGGUACUCAGUAGGUAGGGGUAAAAUCCUUUGAUCUAUUGAUGACCACCUGUGGCGAAGGCGGUCUACCAGAACACGUUCGACGGUGAGGGAUGAAAGCUGGGGGAGCAAACCGGAUUAGAUACCCGGGUAGUCCCAGCUGUAAACGAUGCAGACUCGAUGAUGCAUUGGCAUAAUAGCCAUUGCAGUGUCGCAGGGAAGCCGUUAAGUCUGCCGCCUGGGAAGUACGUACGCAAGUAUGAAACUUAAGGAAUUGGCGGGGAGCACCACAAGGGUGAAGCUGCGGUUCAUUGGAGUCACCG